GAUGAACGCUGGCGGCGUGCCUAACACAUGCAAGUCGAACGGACAGACCUCGAUCGUGCUGUACUCGCGUUACCAACGGGUGAGUGACUCACGCGUAGCUAACCCUCCUCUUUGGCUUAGCUUACUGCGAGAGGGCCUAAUACCGACCAGGAACUACUUCUGCACGCAUGGGUUUGUAAAGAUUCGGCGGUUGGGGAUGGACUCGGGGCGUAUCCGCUUGUUGGUGGGGUAGUGGCUUACCAAGGCUUUGACGGGGAGCCGGCCUGAAAGGGUGACCGGCCAGAUUGGGACUGAGGUGCGGGCCAGAGUCGUAAGGGAGGCAGCAGUGGGGAAUAUUGCACAAUGGGUGGAAGCCUGAUGGAGCAAGGCCGUGUGAGGGAUGACGGCCUUCGGGUUGUAAAAAGCUUUCGCUCAUGACGAAGCUUUGUGUGACGGUAGUGGGUAAAGAAGCACCGGCUAAAUACGUG
rnacentral:rRNA from 1 species